rnacentral:rRNA from 1 species
UACGUAGGGGGCUAGCGUUGUCCGGAAUCAUUGGGCGUAAAGCGCGUGUAGGCGGUCCGGUAAGUCCGCUGUGAAAGUCGGGGGCUCAACCCUCGGAUGCCGGUGGAUACUGUCGGGCUUGAGUACGGAAGAGGCGAGUGGAAUUCCUGGUGUAGCGGUGAAAUGCGCAGAUAUCAGGAGGGACACCAAUUGCGAAGGCAGCUCGCUGGGACGUUACUGACGCUGAGACGCGAAAGCGUGGGGAGCAAACAGG